rnacentral:sRNA from 1 species
UAUUCUGGGGAUGAAUCGAUCAUCACGAACCAUUUUGUGGUUCAUUGACUAACUCGCUUCUUACAGUACAUCCAUCUGCUGGAUAAUGAAAUUGGACCCUGGAGCAAUGCUGUGAGGUUUUCGAGUUCCCUUUUCUGCCCAAUGCUGAUGCAUUCUUCCCCUUGCCAGAUUCUUUCCGCGAUGCAACACCUGCUACUCUUCUGUGAACGUUUGGGGUGGCUCAAGCAGGCUCCACGAGCCGCAAGAACGGUUGUGGGGAAGUGAGGGUGGAGGGAUUCCCAGUCUCCGCAACGCCGAUGCUAUUUAUCGGAUCUUCGGGAUGAUGAACAGACACGGGCAAGGUCUUCACCGUUGUCACCGCUGGAUAGAACGGCCAUAAUUCGUGGAACUUGGAGCUACAGUGCCUCGCAAUAAGUUUUGAAACUAUUGUGACUUCUCAUCAAAAUCCACUAGUCCAAAAGUAGUUUAGUAGUUGCACUGUUUAUUGCAGAACUAGCUCUAAUUAAUUUAAUUACAUCUGGAAAUCAAAUAUUUCCACUCAAUAAAGAAAACGU